UCCAUUCUGUAUUGCUUCUCUACAUGACUUCAAUGCAGGGAAGUGAGGGAGCAAGCACUCUCCAAUGGUGAUGAAUUUUAGGUCACUGGAAAAUAAACAAAAUGCCUUUCUUGGGAUCAAUAAGAUUUGGAAGGAAACAACUAUAAGCAGAGCAUCUGAUUCAUCUCAGAGGCUGAAUUUGAAAGGAUUCAAGUAACACAGGAUAAAUCUGAUUCAAACUGUCACAUUUUUAAGGAAAUGCCUUGGGCUUGUACUUGUCAGACACUAAAUGUCUGCACAUGCCUGCGAGAAAGAGUGAUCUCAGAUGCUUCUACGUGCCUCAGAGAGAUGGAAACGGUAAUUUAUGUGCAGCUGUAAAGGAAAAAGAAAGGAGAACCGGAAUAAGGAGAUUUUUAGGAGAAAGUUUGAAAGUUGACCUGAUAACAUGAAAAAAGCACUGAUCCUGUAUGGAUGAGAAAGGAGGGAGUAAAAUUGAAAUUCAGAAAAAAAUUCCAAUAUUUUAUUUUCAUCUGACAAUUUUCCAGACAGAAAUUUUACCAUCUAUUCUUGAUAUGGUAUUUAGUAGUAUUCCUGAUUCUUGAAACUCCAGGCAUCCAACUCCACAUUCUCUGCAG